GGAAAACACUAAGACAAAAACACCGACCAGUUCAGCGGCCAAAGCAGAAGCAGAGCAGAAUUCGUAAGUCAAGAGUCGAAAGAAAGAUCUUUUUGUCUGUCACUAGUGAUAUUUCGAAAACCUACCGGUGGCGACUUGCGUCGUUUUGAAAGCAAGUCUUUGGUUUCAUUUGGCCAUGCAUCUAAAAUAAAUUGGUAUGGAGGGAGUUGCAUUUUUCACCCAAGGUGGAGCAUUUACCCGACUUUGACAAUUAUCACUUCAUGCAUCUAAUGUCAAUGCAAACCAAUGAAGCAAGGAAAUGGUUAUUCUCUCUUACGUUACUCAUGAGCUUCAUAACUUUCUUGAAGCAGUCACAAGUCAAGCAGGAAAUGUACUCACAUUUUGAUCAUCGAAACUGAAGAAACCAAGAGUUGAACACUUCACGACUGCUUUGUAGUGCCCUGUGUUAAUAUUUUCCCCGAGGUGAUGGACUAUGCCUGAUAGCCUGUACGGAAAUUUGGAAUGUAACUCAAGCUGCUUAGGAACACAUGUAAUCCUCUAAAAUUUCUGCUUUGAAGAGGCUGUUCACAGCGGCUGCCUGUCCUGUAACACAAAACACACAAGGCUAAGUCUAGUUCUGCGUGCGAGACGGCGGCGUGGCAGCUAGGUCAAUGCUAAGGAGCG